ensembl:antisense Nron non-protein coding RNA, repressor of NFAT
UAGACAGACCACACUGGCACCUGAAGCACCCGCGAGGAGGAGGACAAAAAUCGAGUUUCCACAUUUGAAAGUGAACCUGCCAGCCCCAAGAACGUGCCAAAUCCAGGUCUCCUGCUAAGCACUGUGCUAUGCGCUGAGAUGGUUUAGGAAGCCAGAGUGAAGCACGUUCUCCCAGCGGGAGUUUACCGGCCACAAACUGAAACACUCAUAAAUCUAUCACAAAGCGAAAAAUCUCUAAAAUCCAAAGACUAGAGGAGUAUAAGGUUUCAGACUUUGGUUUUAAAAUAAUAGGGGGUUGGGGACAACAGCCAACACCUGUUGACAGUCUCCUGCAAGGCCUCACCUGGGAAGGGGAGAAACGGCUCAGGCAACAAAAACAGCUAUUCCUGGGUCAAAGUGACAACCCAAAAAAUGCCACAGACACAAGCAAUGCCUGGUGGAGAGAGCUGGAAGACAGCGUGGACUCAGUGGAGAAGGGCUUUCUGGGGAAGGGAUGCCAGAGAUUUUGUCCCUGUAGGCUCCUGGGAGUAGGAUGGUUUCCACUACUCAAAUGCCCCACAACCAUCUCUAAACAACCCAGUAGGGUUCACAGUGUUCUACGGAUGGGGACACAGUGGCUCAGAGGGUGUUGCCCAAGGUCACAGAGCUAAAGAAAAUGGCUGGACUGCCAAUGAAACCAUGCUCUUUCUACGACAACAUGUUACCCAAGGAACUGCACAAACACAAAAGUGUUCACUUCUGUCCAAGCCACCCAUUUGAUCAAUACGACGCCAGCCUACCAGCCUAUAUGAUGAGUUUCCCUCAUGGGCCAUCCCCAGCCCUCACAGAGCAUAAUGCACUAGACAAGCC